rnacentral:sRNA from 1 species
GCUGGGUGUGGGGGCACAUGCCUGGAAUCCCAGCCCCUCAGGAGGCGGAGGCAGGAGGAUUGCAAGUUCAAAGCCAGCCUCUGCAACUGAGCAAGGCCCUAAGCGACUUAGCGAGACCCUGUCUCUA